CAGGACCACCAGCAAUGUAUGUAGUCGGCUUGUUCCCCGCAUUCUUUCCAACAUAAUGGUCUGGAAUGCGACGGCAGUUUGUCCUGGUUUAAACCAUGACUGAUUUAGGAAGAAGAAGUAAUUGCUAUUAUUUUACCUCGGAUUACGGCCUUCAUUGAGUCCCAAACAAUAUGCUGAGAAACUCCGCAUUUUGCAUUAAAAUGAAAAUAAUCCUUAAUUUCUUUUUCUAUAUUGUCUGAUAUAGAUUGUAAAAAUAAAAUU